ensembl:Mt_rRNA
ACUAAACCUAGCCUGACACUUCCCCAACACAAAAACACCUUUCCCCUAGAACAAAACAUUCACAAACUAAAGUAUAGGUGAUAGAAAUUCUUUCAAGCGCUAUAGAGAUAGUACCGCAAGGGAAAGAUGAAAGAGAAAAUAAAAGUAAAAAACAGCAUAGAUUACCCCUACUACCUUUUGCAUAAUGAAUUAACUAGAAAUAAUUUGACACAGAGAACUUCAGCCAAAUCCCCCGAAGCCAGACGAGCUACUUUCGAACAGCUUAAAGAGCAAACUCGUCUAUGUGGCAAAAUAGUGAGAAGAUUUGAAAGUAGAGGUGAAAAGCCUAUCGAGCCUGGAGAUAGCUGGUUAUCCAAAUAAGAAUUUUAGUUCAACUUUAAGUCUUCCAAAAAUAAUAGCAACUUUAAUGAAGACUUAAAUGUUAAUUUAAAGAGGGACAGCUCUUUAAAAAAGGAUACAACCUGAACCAGAGGAUAAACAACCAAAAUCCCCUUAAGUUGGCUUAAAAGCAGCCACCAAUUAAGAAAGCGUUCAAGCUCAACUAAAACAACCCACCCAAUUCCACAAGCCCUAAUAAAUCCCUGGACUAACAAUUGGAUUAAUCUAUAGACACAUAGAAGAGAUAAUGUUAAUAUUAGUAACGAGAGUAUACUCUCCUUGCACAAGCCUACAACAACACAACCCAAUUGAUUAACAACCUAAUAAAACAAAACACCCACUAGAUCCUUAUUAAUCAAUACUGUUAACCCAACACAGGAGUGCAUAAAGGAAAGACUAAAACAAGCAAAAGGAACUCGGCAAAACAAGCCCCGCCUGUUUACCAAAAACAUCACCUCUAGCAUGACAAAUAUUAGAGGCACUGCCUGCCCAGUGACACACUGUUCAACGGCCGCGGUAUCCUGACCGUGCAAAGGUAGCAUAAUCAUUUGUUCUUUAAAUAAGGACUUGUAUGAACGGCAAGACGAGGGUUUAACUGUCUCUUGCUUUCAGUCAGUGAAAUUGACCUUCCCGUGAAGAGGCGGGAAUUAAAAAAUAAGACGAGAAGACCCUAUGGAGCUUUAAUCUCCUAAUACACCACUAGUAACCAAAAUUCAAAAAGAAUACAAAAACACAGCACAUGUACUAGAGAUUUUGGUUGGGGUGACCUCGGAGAAUAACAAAACCUCCGAAUGAUAAUAACUCAGGCCCAACAAGCCAAAGUUCCUAUCAUAAAUUGACCCAAAUAAACUUGAUCAACGGACCAAGUUACCCUAGGGAUAACAGCGCAAUCCUAUUCUAGAGUUCAUAUCGACAAUAGGGUUUACGACCUCGAUGUUGGAUCAGGACAUCCAAAUGGUGCAGCAGCUAUUAAAGGUUCGUUUGUUCAACGAUUAAAGUCCUACGUGAUCUGAGUUCAGACCGGAGCAAUCCAGGUCGGUUUCUAUCUAUUCUAAAUUCCCCCCAGUACGAAAGGACAAGGGAAAUGAAGCCAAUUGACCUAUCACGCCUUAAUAGUCAAAGAAUGAUAUAAUAUUAAUUCACAAACUAUUCCCCAAGCUACCCUAGACAAGGGUUC